rnacentral:lncRNA from 1 species
GAUCAUAGCUUAGGCCCAUACUGUACUAUAGUCUCUGGGUAUUGGCAUCAUCCGGUGCAAAAAUGGGUGCCCCCGGUUUUGGUAUCAAAACCAUUAGCGCGCCGACGGUCCUUGGAAAUGGACGAUGACACUACAUCUCUGUGAUACUGUUGGCGGCAAGGUGAUAAUGUUUCUUUAGGUUAUGUAGUGAGAUGACCUCUUGCCAGGUUUAGAUCGUAGUUAAUUAUGAUAGAGAAAAAAUUGCAUCUCUCCGGAACAAACAAUGGGAACCAAUGACUUCCGAGCUUUAACAAAAAUAGUUCCUUAAUGUUAUAUAAAUCCACGUCAGUUAAUUUGGAACGGAGUGAAUACUCCGCACUAUUAACUACGGUGAAUUGAGACCGGGCAUUGCUUUUACGUUGGAUAAAAUUUGAUAGUCCAAGUUUCGGCUAUUGGAGAUUUGGAUUUGGGUGAUUUGCUUGAUUAUUUUUAUACUAGGAUUUUUUUUGUCGGAAAACAGAGUAAAGAUUUUUUUUUUUAGAUAGUAGGUGAUUUGCUUGAAUUUACCGAACUGACUUCGCUCCUUGUCUUGUUUUACAGCAGCGAUUGAAGGGAAGCCAAACGCCCAACAUAGAACGGAUCCACACGGCUGUGCUCGAAAUAGCUCUAAAAAAAAAGUCCUUAACUGUACUCACAGUUAUACCAGAGGUCAGAAACAGUACUCGCUGCUACACUUGCUCGUUUCGCAAUUCCUCGCAAAUGCCCUCACGGAGCACCUGCUAA